CAGCAGCCGCGGGAAUACAGAGGAUGCAAGCGUUAUCCGGAAUGAUUGGGCGUAAAGCGUCUGUAGGUGGCUUUUCAAGUCCGCCGUCAAAUCCCAGGGCUCAACCCUGGACAGGCGGUGGAAACUACCAAACUGGAGUACGGUCGGGGCAGAGGGAAUUUCCGGUGGAGCGGUGAAAUGCGUUGAGAUCGGAAAGAACACCAACGGCGGAAGCACUCUGCUGGGCCGACACUGACACUGAGAGACGAAAGCUAGGGGAGCAAAUGGGAUUAGAUACCCCGGUAGUCCCUGUCUCUUAUAC
rnacentral:rRNA from 1 species